GAUGAACGCUGGCGGCGUGCCUAAUACAUGCAAGUCGAGCGAAUCUUUAGGAGCUUGCUCCUAAAGGUUAGCGGCGGACGGGUGAGUAACACGUGGGCAACCUACCUGUAAGACUGGGAUAACUUCGGGAAACCGGAGCUAAUACCGGAUAAUACUUUUUCUUUCAUGAGGAAAAGUUGAAAGAUGGCUUCGGCUAUCACUUACAGAUGGGCCCGCGGCGCAUUAGCUAGUUGGUGAGGUAACGGCUCACCAAGGCAACGAUGCGUAGCCGACCUGAGAGGGUGAUCGGCCACACUGGGACUGAAACACGGCCCAGACUCCUACGGGGGGCAGCAGUAGGGAAUCUUCCGCAAUGGACGAAAGUCCGACGGAGCAACGCCGCGUGAGCGAUGAAGGCCUUCGGGUCGUAAAGCUCUGUUGUUAGGGAAGAACAAGUAUCGUUCGAAUAGGGCGGUACCUUGACGGUACCUAACCAGAAAGCCACGGCUAACUACGUGCCAGCAGCCGCAGUAAAAC
rnacentral:rRNA from 1 species